UCCAAAUAUUAUCAUGUGAAUGUAAUUUAUUUAUAUUGUUGUUAGGUUAUAUAUAUCUUCUAAGGGGUAUAUAUGUAAUUUAAUGAUAAAAAGCCUAAAAUAUUGUGACUUUUAUUUAAGUUAUAGAUAUAUAUAUAAUAAUAUUAUAAAAUUAAUAAACAAUAUUCUGUUAAAGUUAACGUAGAAACCUAAAAACAUCGUUAAACCAAUAAUUCUAUUACAUAGCCACACUUUAUAUAGAAUAGAUAUAUAAAAUUUUGAUUUGAUUGAUGUUGUCACUUUGUGACAAGUUUUUUUUUUAUUUAUUUUUACUUAAAAUUAAUGAUGAUAAAGAUGAGACCCAUUACGUGUUCUCAUUUCAUUUUUUCAUCAUAUUUCUUAUUCUUUCUCUCUCAUCAUCAUCUUCUUCUUUUUCAUAGGUUUCUUUUUUUGUUGUUUCAAAAUUCAUACACUUAUUAUCUUUUUUCUCACUCUUCUCUCUCUCUCUCUCUCUCUCUCUCUCUCUCUCUCUCUCUCUCUCUCUACAUUAACAUAUAAUUUAUUUUAUUUUAUUUCUUGUUCAGUUCUUCUUCUUCAUCUUCUUCUUCAUUUUUUUUUUAGUUUUUCUAAUUUUCAGUCACCCUUUUAGGGAAAAAUAAGAGUGUGAUUUUUAUAUUCUGAUUUUUCAGAACUGUUCUUGCAAAUAUAGUCGUUGUUGCAUUUGGUGUUGAGGCUGUGCAGAAGAUGGUGUUCUCGUAUUGCUGCGGUAGUUAUAUCUGUGGGUGUGGAAGAUAGAGGCUUGGUAUGUGAUUUUUGGCAUCUACAGUAUAAAAGAAAAAAAAAAAUACAAAGACUGUAUAAAUAUAAUUUUUGCCGUGUAA